rnacentral:lncRNA from 1 species
AUAUUGGGCCCACCUGGAUAAUUUGGCUAGUCUCCCCAUUUCUAGAUCCUUAAAUUAACCACAUCUGCAAAGUUCUUUUUGCCAAGUAAGGUAACAUAUUCACAGCUUCAAGGAACUAGGAUGCGGACAUCUUUGUCGGCCCAUUUCUCUCUCUACCACCGUUCCAUUAGAGCAGAUAAGGAGAAAACAGUGACUGAAGCCUUCCAGAUGACCUUAAGAUCAUCCAAAGUGAUAUUUUGACUUCCCCUAUGGAUUGGAGAUUGGCUUCCUGGCACCUGCUGGACAGGCUUGACAUUUAAAACAGAGCUUCUCUCUGGAACCCAAAGUACAGCCAAUCCUCUGUUCAUCUGAAAAUAAUCCAUCUCCUUAGCUCUAAGACCUUGAGCUCAAAGAGAAUACAUUAUUUGAGAAAAAAAAAAAAUGAAACAAAGAAGAGAAAUUAAAUCUCUCCCUGCCCUUCAUGGCUUCUAACUUCAGCUUCCAGUUUUUUUCCCAAAAUAACUUCAACAUCUAGCAAAUUGACAGGAGUUCUCAGUAGCUGAGGCAAUGGUGGCUAUUAAUUGAGGUAAUUCAACUUCUCGCUUAAAACACAAUAAGAGGGGCCGGGCCAGUGGCACAGCGGUUAAGUGCGCACCUUCCCCUUCGGUGGCCUGGGGUUCGCUGGUUCGGAUCCCGGGUGCGGACAUGGCACCGCUUGGCACGCCAUGCUGUGGCAGGCAUCCCACGUAUAAAGUAGAGGAUGAUGGGCAAGGAUGUUAGCUCAGGGCCAGCCUUCCUCAGCAAAAAGAGGAGGAUUGGCAGCAGUUAACUCAGGGCUAAUCUUCCUCAAAAAAAAAAAAAAAAAAAAACCACUAAGAAAAAACAGAACAAAGACAAUUAGGGAAAUUGGAUCUAAAAUUAAUCCCAAAUCCUCAUCAGAAAUGAAAGAUCAUUUAAUAGGUGAAAAUAGAGCUUGCAGGGAUAAGAUUUCUGAGGGCACGUUACAUGUAAAGCUAUGGCCCUGGGGGUGGGGGUGCAAAGAGAACAGAAAGGGAAGGGCCUCCUUUGGAAGAAUCGUGAUGAAAGGAAAAAGAAUAAGUGGGAAAAGUCAGGAUAAUUCAGGGCAAAAGAUAUUUAAAAAAAAUCAAAAGGCACACAACCUGUCUCCCAUUUCUUCACUCCUCCUUAAGAAAAAUCUAGUGAAAACCUUAUUUUGUAACAGAGACAGAAGUCGGUGAUUUUGAACCAAGAUUCUUAGGAAACACAAAUCGCCAGUCCUGCCCACAAAGACGCAGCAAAUCAAACAGUCCUCUUCUUUGAAAACCGUGACAAACUUUAAAUAAAAAUGUGACACUAUACAAUUCAGCUGGCAAAAGUUUUCCCCGAAGAAACAAAACGGUGGUGAGGCAGAAGAAAACUGCAACAUGACACUUGAAAUUUAAUUAACUAUCUUAAACCAAACAUUUGUGGACAUGAAACAUUGUCUUGAAUCAGAAGUUCAAAAUAUAAAACAUUAUGUCAAAAAAAGCGAGAAGAAAUAAAGCAAUUGAUUGAACCAAGGAAAGAAAUGAAAGGACUGAUAAAAUCUGGUUAUACAAGCUGACCAGGGAAGAAUAAAUUUGAAGAAAACAUAAAAUAUAAUACAGAGAGAUAGAUGUGUAGGCAGGUGAAAGAAAGAGAGAAGGCAGAAAGGAAGGAAGGAAGGGAGAGAGGGAAAGAGAGAGAAAGAAACUAAUAAAACAAAUGGAUAAAAUGUUAACAACAGGUGCAUCUUGGUAAAGGGUACAUGGUGUUAUCUGUACUAUUUUUGUUUUUGCAACCUUUUUAAAAUUUGAAAUUAUUACCAAGUACAAAAUUUAAUACGCAUAUCACAUUGGAGAGUUAUAAGAAAGACGUAAGACACUGCCCUUUAGAACUCGUAAUCAAGGGGGUUAGAGCCACGGAAAAUUUUAACUAUAACACUUUCAAUCCUUGAAUAUCAUUCUUUACCCAGUCACAAGUUCUCUUCUGUUAACAAUUAAUAUUCUUUCACAUAGUUUUAAAAUAGUGAUCUUUCAGUAAACGUACUCCUUCAAGAAUAUAGCCAUUGAUACUUUUACUUUAAAAAUCCCUAUUCUCAGAGCCGGCCCCAUGGCUGAGUGGUUAAUUUCAAGUGCUCAGCUUCUUCAGCCCAGGGUUUAGCCGAUUGGGAUCCUGGGCACAGACGUGGCACCACUCGUCAGGCCAUGCUGAGGUGGCAUCACUCAUGGCACAACCAGAAGGACCUGGAGUUAGAAUAUACAACUAUGUACUGGGGGGUCUUUGGGGAGAAGAAGAAGAAGAAAAAAUCCCAUUCUCCAUUGUGAAUUAUCUAUUUAUAUAUUUUGUCUGUUUGAUUGUUGGUUUGACUUGAAUGUUUAUAAGUGAUUUGUAAAUAUUUUUAUAUGUCAAAAAUGGUUUUAAAAAGAAAAAAUUAUAAGGGUUAUGGAAUAAAAGCAGGAUUAGAAAAACAAGGAAAUUUAAAAGAUAUAAAAAUAAUAAAAGUCAGAGAGAAAUGUUUAGAAUGGAAGACAGGAAAAGAAGAAAUCAUAUGUUUAAUAGGAAUUUUUAAGCAAGCAAAACAAAACAGACAUAUUCUGAUUGUGAAUAAAAUGGUUUGUUAUUCUGCAACUGCGGUAACCUGCUUACUUUGCAUUGAAUAGAACUUAGUGUCACAGCUACACCUAGCUCCAAGGGAGGACAGACGACGCUGUUUUCCUUCUAAGCAUUUUUGUACCAAGCUGAGCACGGGGAGUGCAGUGACCAAGAAGAAAAUGGCAAAUAGAUCCAAAUAAAUGGAAAACAAAUACCAUCUGAUAGUGUAUGAUUAAAUUAGAUUAAAAGUGUAUCUUUGUAGUCCCAGAACAAGCAGCAAAACCUUCUACCCCACUUGCUGUUUGACUUGCAGUCUGGAGACAGUGCUUAUCUCUUUCAGCUCUAAUGUAAAAAUAUAUAGAAGACUUUUUAAUUUAUUCAGCAGUCUACUAUUGCAAUACAAUGUAGAUUGUUCAAAUUAAGCUUGACUGGGCAGAUAAUCUUUGAAAACUCCCUCCCCUUGUCUAUAUAACUUUAUGAUUUCUCUUUCAAUCUUUUAAACUUAAAGGUUUAAGGGGACAAAAUUACUCUGCCUUGAACCUGCAAGUGAUAACUUCUAGCAGAUAGGGUACCCAUCAAUGUCAUUGAUGUCUUUUAAAAGAGUGAAAAUGUUGACCUGUGUUCCCAUGAAUGUUCCUCCAGCCAUCCAGCUUCAUGUGAAGAAAAUAUACUUCCAACCUGUAUAUUGCUUCUGAUAAAACAGCAAACCUCCAGGGCUCUGGGGGGUUUAGUUGAUACAACAGUUCUUUAAAGAUGUUCCUGAGGAGAGACCAUUCGGAUCAUCUGUCUUGAUAUCACCUGUUAUCCAUUUCUAUUCUGAUUCUUCACAUUCUUUGACAUUUUGUUAUGUCUACGGGGAAAAUGCACAUUUCAGGUAAAUUUACAAUUUUUAGUCCAUUUUCUAAGCAUAGAGAUGUACCCUAAUUAAGCAAUUGAAUUUAUGGAAAUCAAAAAAAUACAGCAAGUUUCAGUUCUUUUGCUAAAUAUAUAUUUUAGUGUUUUAUCCUUAACGCAUAGUAAGAACUUCACCACCAUGAAAAUAUCUACAAAUUAAAAAAUGGAAAUGCAGGCAGUAAGAAAUGUUUGAAACCUCUGCUAUAAAUUUGUAUGCCAGUGAGUAAUAAUAAUAUUGUAUAGAACAGACUUAUGAAUUCUGAAGUAAUUUUUCAAUUCUUAAGAAACACUUUUCCCAUUACUGUAACUGUUUUAUUUUACUCUGUUGAAUUUGAGAGCGGAACACUUUUGCUACUUAGUAAUUAACAGAUAAAAUCUGUUAUAAUAUGUCAUUAUAGAUCAUGGCCAAAUAAAAAGCAAGCACCAGAUGGUGUGCUUUAUGUUAAGCUACAGUGCACAUGCAUUAGGACUUCUUUUUCUCUCCCAGGAAAAUUGCAAUUUAUUUUAGAGACAUCCUUUACACUACGGAAGCUGUGGAGCAAGAAGCUGUUUUUACUAGCAUAGAAUCCACAAAAAGUGUGGCAUCAUCUCCAGCUUUACUGCUCUGUGAAGAAACAAUACAAUGCUUCAUUAUUUUCCCUUCUUGUUCCUCUCCACCCCCCUUCUCCUCUUCUCUUUAUCAUAUGGACUGUUGACAUGGGACAACUGAAGCUAAAUUAUAGUAAGCCUGAUUUUCUAGCCAUUGUUAAUAAAAAUAUUAGAAGAUUUAACAAUUACGGAAAUUCUUUAUUAGCCUUUCUUUUAUUGACAUUCUGUUAUAUUCUGAGGGAAAUUAUGCCCCAUCCCCAUCCCCCAACAAUGAUGUGGCUCUUAAAAUUUGCCUCCCAUUGUGCUCUCAUUGAUACCCAGGCUCUUUUUGUGGUCUCUA